UACGAAGGGGGCUAGCGUUGUUCGGAAUUACUGGGCGUAAAGCGUGCGCAGGCGGCUUCUCAAGUCAGGGGUGAAAGCCCAGAGCUCAACUCUGGAAUUGCCUUUGAGACUGAGUGGCUUGAGUACGAGAGAGGUGAGUGGAAUUCCCAGUGUAGAGGUGAAAUUCGUAGAUAUUAGGAAGAACACCGGUGGCGAAGGCGGCUCGCUGGCUCGUAACUGACGCUCAUACACGACAGCGUGGGGAUCAAACAGG
rnacentral:rRNA from 1 species